CGGGUGAGUAAUACAUAAGUAACCUGCCCUAGACAGGGGGAGUAACUAUUGAAACGAUAGCUAAGACCGCAUAGGUACGGACACUGCAUGGUGACCGUAUUAAAAGUGCCUCAAAGCACUGGUAGAGGAUGGACUUAUGGCGCAUUAGCUGGUUGGCGGGGUAACGGCCCGCCAAGGCGACGAUGCGUAGCCGACCUGAGAGGGUGACCGGCCACAUUGGGACUGAGACACGGCCCAA
rnacentral:rRNA from 1 species